rnacentral:rRNA from 1 species
AGCGCAGGCGGUCAGGUAAGUCUGAAGUGAAAACCCGAGGCUCAACCCCGGGCCUGCUUUGGAUACUGCCAGACUUGAGUACGUGAGAGGAGAGCGGAAUUCCAGGUGUAGCGGUGAAAUGCGUAGAUAUCUGGAGGAACACCGGUGGCGAAAGCGGCUCUCUGGCACGAUACUGACGCUCAGGCUCGAAAGCGUGGGGAGCGAACAGGAUUAGAUACCCUGGUAGUCC